CAGUAGCCACGGUAAUACGUAGGGUGCAAGCGUUAAUCGGAAUUACUGGGCGUAAAGCGUGCGCAGGCGGUUUGUUAAGACAGAUGUGAAAUCCCCGGGCUCAACCUGGGAACUGCAUUUGUGACUGGCAAGCUAGAGUAUGGCAGAGGGGGGUGGAAUUCCGCGUGUAGCAGUGAAAUGCGUAGAUAUGCGGAGGAACACCGAUGGCGAAGGCAGCCCCCUGGGCCAAUACUGACGCUCAUGCACGAAAGCGUGGGGAGCAAACAGGAUUAGAUACCCCCGUAGUCCCUGUCUCUUAUAC
rnacentral:rRNA from 1 species